rnacentral:rRNA from 1 species
GACGAACGCUGGCGGCGUGCUUAACACAUGCAAGUCGAACGAAGUGGCGAACGGGUGAGUAAUACGUGGGUAACCUGCCCUCCUUUUUGGGAUAAGCCUUGGAAACGGGGUCUAAUACCGAAUAAAGGGGGAUGGGCUCGCGGCCUAUCAGCUUGUUGGUGGGGUGAUGGCCUACCAAGGCGGUGACGGGUAGCCGGCCUGGGGGGGUGACCGGCAACAGUGGGACGGGGAUACGGCCCAGACUCCUACGGGAGGCGGCAGGGGGGGUUAUGGCACAAUGGGCGAAAGCCUGAGGCGGCGACGCCGGGGGGGGGAUGAAGGUUUUGGGGUGGUAAACUUCUUUGGCUACCGAACGGGUAGGUGGAGAAGAAGCGCCGGCUAACUACGUGCCAGCAGCCGCGGUAAUUC